rnacentral:lncRNA from 11 species
GAGAGAUUCUGAGAGUUGUAGACAAAAAAAAACUUUUCUAAGUUUUGGUUAUUCCACAUUUUUAGCCUUCUGGGUUGUUCCAGGCCUAUAAUAAAGCAAGAAGUUGAACAACAGUCUAGCCAUACAGCUGGGGAAUGUGAGAUCAUCCAGGUGUUGCUGACCCACAACUCAAAUCAACUUUCGACAGCAUAGCCAAUGGGAUAUGCAAAUGGACUGGUGGAAAUGGAGCCUUCUCCUUCUGCAGAAUGUUUUCCAGAGGACACAGCUGAAAAGCUGGUGUGGGACGAAGCAAGGAAUGCCUCCUAUGUAAAUGGAUUUUCUGUGUGUCUAUGUAUUAGGAUUCAUUGUCUCUGUAUUACGAUUUGUUGAUUGUAUAAUUUUGUUAAUUUGGUUGUUGAUUAUUAUUAUGCAUACUCUUUUUUUCUCUGUGGUAAGACAUCCUGAGUCCCUUUGGGGAGAGGGGGCGGGAUAUAAAUAAAUCCUAUUAUUAUAAAGCUAUUAUUAUUAUUUGAUCCUCCUUUCCUCUGCAUGCUGGUCAUCCUAUUUAGUAGGGUCUUCUAGAUUUCUGUAUAGC